GCCUCUGGGUGCCAUUGGGAGCCAUGGGGUGACCCUACAGGUGCCAUCGGGUGCCAUUGGGUGCCAUGGGGUGACCCUACAGGUGCCAUAGGGUGCCAUAGGGUGCCAUUGGGUGAUCCUAUGAGUACCAUAGGGUGCCUCUGGGUGCCAUAGGGUGCCAUAGGGUGCCAUUGGGUGCCAUGGGGUGACCCUACAGGUGCCAUAGGGUUCCAUGGGGUGCCAUGGGGUGACCCUCCAGGUGCCAUGGGGUGCCAUGGGGUGCCAUGGGGUGACCCUCCAGGUGCCAUGGGGUGCCAUGGGGUGCCAUGGGGUGCCCCUCCAG
ensembl:lncRNA